rnacentral:rRNA from 1 species
GCAGUCCACUCCUACGGGAGGCAGCAGUGGGGAAUAUUGCACAAUGGGCGCAAGCCUGAUGCAGCCAUGCCGCGUGUAUGAAGAAGGCCUUCGGGUUGUAAAGUACUUUCAGCAGUGAGGAAGGUGGGUAUGUUAAUAGCAUACUCAUUUGACGUUAGCUGCAGAAGAAGCACCGGCUAACUCCGUGCCAGCAGCCGCGGUAAUACGGAGGGUGCGAGCGUUAAUCGGAAUUACUGGGCGUAAAGCGCAUGCAGGUGGUUUGUUAAGUCAGAUGUGAAAGCCCGGGGCUCAACCUCGGAAUUGCAUUUGAAACUGGCAAACUAGAGUACUGUAGAGGGGGUAGAAUUUCAGGUGUAGCGGUGAAAUGCGUAGAGAUCUGAAGGAAUACCGGUGGCGAAGGCGGCCCCCUGGACAGAUACUGACACUCAGAUGCGAAAGCGUGGGGAGCAAACAGGAUUAGAUACCCUGGUAG